GGGUUGUGAGGUUAAGCGACUAAGCGUACACGGUGGAUGCCCUGGCAGUCAGAGGCGAUGAAGGGCGUGCUAAUCUGCGAUAAGCGCCGGUAAGGUGAUAUGAACCGUUAUAACCGGCGAUACCCGAAUGGGGAAACCCAGUGUGAUUCGUCACACUAUCAUUAACUGAAUCCAUAGGUUAAUGAGGCGAACCGGGGGAACUGAAACAUCUAAGUACCCCGAGGAAAAGAAAUCAACCGAGAUUCCCCCAGUAGCGGCGAGCGAACGGGGAGGAGCCCAGAGCCUGAAUCAGCAUGUGUGUUAGUGGAAGCGUCUGGAAAGGCGCGCGAUACAGGGUGACAGCCCCGUACACAAAAGCGCAUGUGCUGUGAGCUCGAUGAGUAGGGCGGGACACGUGGUAUCCUGUCUGAAUAUGGGGGGACCAUCCUCCAAGGCUAAAUACUCCUGACUGACCGAUAGUGAACCAGUACCGUGAGGGAAAGGCGAAAAGAACCCCGGCGAGGGGAGUGAAAAAGAACCUGAAACCGUGUACGUACAAGCAGUGGGAGCNNNNNNNNNNNNNNNNNNNNNNNNNNNNNNNNNNNNNNNNNNNGGGCGUUAAGUUGCAGGGUAUAGACCCGAAACCCGGUGAUCUAGCCAUGGGCAGGUUGAAGGUUGGGUAACACUAACUGGAGGACCGAACCGACUAAUGUUGAAAAAUUAGCGGAUGACCUGUGGCUGGGGGUGAAAGGCCAAUCAAACCGGGAGAUAGCUGGUUCUCCCCGAAAGCUAUUUAGGUAGCGCCUCGUGAAUUCAUCUCCGGGGGUAGAGCACUGUUUCGGCUAGGGGGCCAUCCCGGCUUACCAACCCGAUGCAAACUGCGAAUACCGGAGAAUGUUAUCACGGGAGACACACGGCGGGUGCUAACGUCCGUCGUGAAGAGGGAAACAACCCAGACCGCCAGCUAAGGUCCCAAAGUCAUGGUUAAGUGGGAAACGAUGUGGGAAGGCCCAGACAGCCAGGAUGUUGGCUUAGAAGCAGCCAUCAUUUAAAGAAAGCGUAAUAGCUCACUGGUCGAGUCGGCCUGCGCGGAAGAUGUAACGGGGCUAAACCAUGCACCGAAGCUGCGGCAGCGACACUGUGUGUUGUUGGGUAGGGGAGCGUUCUGUAAGCCUGUGAAGGUGUGUCGUGAGGCAUGCUGGAGGUAUCAGAAGUGCGAAUGCUGACAUAAGUAACGAUAAAGCGGGUGAAAAGCCCGCUCGCCGGAAGACCAAGGGUUCCUGUCCAACGUUAAUCGGGGCAGGGUGAGUCGACCCCUAAGGCGAGGCCGAAAGGCGUAGUCGAUGGGAAACGGGUUAAUAUUCCCGUACUUGGUGUUACUGCGAAGGGGGGACGGAGAAGGCUAUGUUGGCCGGGCGACGGUUGUCCCGGUUUAAGCGUGUAGGUGUGUGUUCCAGGUAAAUCCGGUUCACUUUAACACUGAGGCGUGACGACGAGGCACUACGGUGCUGAAGCAACAAAUGCCCUGCUUCCAGGAAAAGCCUCUAAGCAUCAGGUAACAUCAAAUCGUACCCCAAACCGACACAGGUGGUCAGGUAGAGAAUACCAAGGCGCUUGAGAGAACUCGGGUGAAGGAACUAGGCAAAAUGGUGCCGUAACUUCGGGAGAAGGCACGCUGACACGUAGGUGAAGUGAUUUACUCAUGGAGCUGAAGUCAGUCGAAGAUACCAGCUGGCUGCAACUGUUUAUUAAAAACACAGCACUGUGCAAACACGAAAGUGGACGUAUACGGUGUGACGCCUGCCCGGUGCCGGAAGGUUAAUUGAUGGGGUCAGCGCAAGCGAAGCUCCUGAUCGAAGCCCCGGUAAACGGCGGCCGUAACUAUAACGGUCCUAAGGUAGCGAAAUUCCUUGUCGGGUAAGUUCCGACCUGCACGAAUGGCGUAAUGAUGGCCAGGCUGUCUCCACCCGAGACUCAGUGAAAUUGAACUCGCUGUGAAGAUGCAGUGUACCCGCGGCAAGACGGAAAGACCCCGUGAACCUUUACUAUAGCUUGACACUGAACAUUGAGCCUUGAUGUGUAGGAUAGGUGGGAGGCUUUGAAGUGUGGACGCCAGUCUGCAUGGAGCCGACCUUGAAAUACCACCCUUUAAUGUUUGAUGUUCUAACGUGGACCCGUUACCCGGGUUGCGGACAGUGUCUGGUGGGUAGUUUGACUGGGGCGGUCUCCUCCUAAAGAGUAACGGAGGAGCACGAAGGUUGGCUAAUCCUGGUCGGACAUCAGGAGGUUAGUGCAAUGGCAUAAGCCAGCUUGACUGCGAGCGUGACGGCGCGAGCAGGUGCGAAAGCAGGUCAUAGUGAUCCGGUGGUUCUGAAUGGAAGGGCCAUCGCUCAACGGAUAAAAGGUACUCCGGGGAUAACAGGCUGAUACCGCCCAAGAGUUCAUAUCGACGGCGGUGUUUGGCACCUCGAUGUCGGCUCAUCACAUCCUGGGGCUGAAGUAGGUCCCAAGGGUAUGGCUGUUCGCCAUUUAAAGUGGUACGCGAGCUGGGUUUAGAACGUCGUGAGACAGUUCGGUCCCUAUCUGCCGUGGGCGCUGGAGAACUGAGGGGGGCUGCUCCUAGUACGAGAGGACCGGAGUGGACGCAUCACUGGUGUUCGGGUUGUCAUGCCAAUGGCACUGCCCGGUAGCUAAAUGCGGAAGAGAUAAGUGCUGAAAGCAUCUAAGCACGAAACUUGCCCCGAGAUGAGUUCUCCCUGAGACUUAGAGUCUCCUGAAGGAACGUUGAAGACGACGACGUUGAUAGGCCGGGUGUGUAAGCGCAGCGAUGCGUUGAGCUAACCGGUACUAAUGAACCGUGAGGCUUAACCUUACAACGCCGAAG
rnacentral:rRNA from 1 species